AGGAAUAUUGGUCAAUGGACGAGAGUCUGAACCAGCCAAGUAGCGUGAAGGAUGACUGCCCUAUGGGUUGUAAACUUCUUUUAUAUGGGAAUAAAAUGAGUUACGUGUAGCUUUUUGUAUGUACCAUAUGAAUAAGGAUCGGCUAACUCCGUGCCAGCAGCCGCGGUAAUACGGAGGAUCCGAGCGUUAUCCGGAUUUAUUGGGUUUAAAGGGAGCGUAGGUGGAUUGUUAAGUCAGUUGUGAAAGUUUGCGGCUCAACCGUAAAAUUGCAGUUGAAACUGGCAGUCUUGAGUACAGCAGAGGUGGGCGGAAUUCGUGGUGUAGCGGUGAAAUGCUUAGAUAUCACGCAGAACCCCGAUUGCGAAGGCAGCCUUCCGGCGCCCUACUGACGCUGAGGCACGAAAGUGCGGGGAUCGAACAGG
rnacentral:rRNA from 1 species